rnacentral:rRNA from 1 species
CAGUCGCCGCGGUAAUACGGAGGGUGCAAGCGUUAUCCGGAUUUAUUGGGUUUAAAGGGUCCGUAGGCGGAUCUGUAAGUCAGUGGUGAAAUCUCACAGCUUAACUGUGAAACUGCCAUUGAUACUGCAGGUCUUGAGUAAAUUUGAAGUGGCUGGAAUAAGUAGUGUAGCGGUGAAAUGCAUAGAUAUUACUUAGAACACCAAUUGCGAAUGCAGGUCACUAAGAUUUAACUGACGCUGAUGGACGAAAGCGUGGGGAGCGAACAGGAUUAGAUACCCCAGUAGUCCCUGUCUCUUAUAC